rnacentral:rRNA from 1 species
UGACGGGAGCUUGCUCCUUGAUUCAGCGGCGGACGGGUGAGUAAUGCCUAGGAAUCUGCCUGGUAGUGGGGGACAACGUUUCGAAAGGAACGCUAAUACCGCAUACGUCCUACGGGAGAAAGCAGGGGACCUUCGGGCCUUGCGCUAUCAGAUGAGCCUAGGUCGGAUUAGCUAGUUGGUGGGGUAAUGGCUCACCAAGGCGACGAUCCGUAACUGGUCUGAGAGGAUGAUCAGUCACACUGGAACUGAGACACGGUCCAGACUCCUACGGGAGGCAGCAGUGGGGAAUAUUGGACAAUGGGCGAAAGCCUGAUCCAGCCAUGCCGCGUGUGUGAAGAAGGUCUUCGGAUUGUAAAGCACUUUAAGUUGGGAGGAAGGGCAGUAAGUUAAUACCUUGCUGUUUUGACGUUACCGACAGAAUAAGCACCGGCUAACUCUGUGCCAGCAGCCGCGGUAAUACAGAGGGUGCAAGCGUUAAUCGGAAUUACUGGGCGUAAAGCGCGCGUAGGUGGUUUGUUAAGUUGGAUGUGAAAGCCCCGGGCUCAACCUGGGAACUGCAUCCAAAACUGGCAAGCUAGAGUACGGUAGAGGGUGGUGGAAUUUCCUGUGUAGCGGUGAAAUGCGUAGAUAUAGGAAGGAACACCAGUGGCGAAGGCGACCACCUGGACUGAUACUGAC